GGUAGCUUCGAAACAUAUCAAAAUAAAGUUUUAACUCUCUCAGAACUAAAUAACGCAUAGCUUCAAACACUUCUUUGUAGCUUCAAUCACAGAUGAAGAAAGUAUUUGAAGAACACAUCUCAAAAUGUAUAUAGCUUCAAUCACAUCAAAGUAGGCUAAAACACUCUCAGUCUUGUGGAGGUUACCGAACAUCAAGAAGAGUUUAUUUAGGGCUAUUGGGAAAGGAGGGAAAAUGAGAUUUGCUAUAGAGAAUGCGACAAAGACGAGUAUUGUGAUUGCGGAUACAAAGAUACAUAUAUUGAGAUCGUUUUCGAGUAUUAAGAUCGCUAGGGGUUCACUUUGUAGCGUUAUAUUGGGCUCUCCUGCUGGUUUUUAUGAAGCACUUAAUGGACAUAGGAUUUGUUGGUAAAAAUCUACAGUUCUUCCAGAGAAGUCGCUUCUUCAAAUUUCAAGGUGGAAGGGCAUAAAAGACUGCUUUGGUCCAUAUAUCUCUACGCGACUUCAAUGAAUAAUUUUAACUUGCCUCAGUUGGUACUAUGCUAUUGAGAAACCUACAAAGACUUCACCAAUGAAUGUCUUCCUGAAAUCAAGUGUAUUGUCAGGUAAAAAGUUUAACAUGACUGGGAUUCUUCUCUAAUACCACUGAGAUCCUUAUACUUAAGAGUUUUCUGAUGCUAAGUUUGUAGCGAAAUAUUUGGUUUCUUUGAAGAGUGAAAACAUUUGCUAAUCAGCAUGACUCAAGGUAUUGACUUCUCUCUUUCUUUUAUUUUUUUCUUCUUUUUUGAUCAUAAAUUUAAGCCUAAAACUUAUUUAAAUUAUUCUGCUUAGUGUAUGUAUAGUUGUUGUAAUCGUAAGGUUGUAAUUAAGUUUGAGUUUAUGCUUGACGGAAAAAUAGUAGUAGUAUUUUUCUCUCUAGUUGUUUACUACGAUGGGAAUUUUCUUAAUAAGUAAAAUCCUUUUUUUUUUCAAGAAAUAAUUAAUUUGAAGCUGAUUUUCAAGAUUUAUUGAGCUUGCAAAGGUUUCUGCUGGUAGAAGAUUCUCUUACAUUGUAGAUUCAAGCAUAUCAUAUGUCUUAAUGCUCGGAUUUUUUUACUAUAUUUAGUUGUAUUUGGUAGUGCAUCCAUAUAAGUUGAAGCCCACAUGAGCAACAAAUUGUUGAAAAGACAAGGUGGUAAUAUAAAAAUGCAAUAUAAAUGGUUGUGUUCUUUUCUCCUUUUUUACAGUAUAUUGUUUAUCAAUCAAUUAUUAAUAUAUGAUAGUUUGCAGCUAUACUAUUUUUAUAGUUCAGUUUUCUUUAUUGUUGCGACAGUGCUUGCCUUAGCCGAGGGUCUUUUGGAAACAGUCUGUCUACUUGCAUAAGGUAGAGGUAAGGUUUGCGGACACACUACUUUCCCUAGACCCCACAUAUGGUAAUAUACUAGGUAUGUGGUUGUUGUUUUGUGGAUAACUCUCUUUUAACGGUAAUAAUGCCACUUGAGAUCCUUGCUUUAUUUUUUAGAAGUGUAAGUCACGCAUAUUCCUAAAAGAGAAAACUUGAGCAAUUCCCAAGCAGGAGUGCAUUUUGGCUGCUGUUAAUGAUUAGAAACUAGAGUUGCCUUUAGAUUUAGCAACUCUAUCAGGUGGCUUUGAUCUCAAACUAAUUGUAAUGAGGAACACUUUGUUACAGGUUCUUUCCCUGUCUAUACAAUUUCUAUAAGAAUUCAGAAUUCAACUACCUCUUUUUAUUUACUCUAAGAUGCUAUAAAAUCAUUUUAUUGUUAAUGUUUUACGUUAUGUUUGGAAGCAAAAUUUAUGCAAACUAGUAUUUAUGGAUUGUCGACAUUUGUAUUUUUUGCUUCUUCUAUCUUAGUGCUUAUUUCUUCUGUCUUAUUAAAAUGGACUCUUACUGGGUGUAUCUUACUCUUUACCCUUUGUUAAUUAUUGAUGUAUCUUAAAAUGUUUUCUUUUUCUUUUUUCUUCCCUCAGAAUACUUUUGUGCCAGUUGAAUAUGUUGGUGAAGCAAACAAGCAAUGGAAAGAUGAAAGCAGUGAAGACUUUAUUGAAAAGUAUUGGUUUGGGAUUGAGGCAUAGUUAUUAUUGUUGUUGCCUGUUGGUCUAUAAAGACCUAUGUUCUAGGGAGUUUUUUUAAUUUCAAUUUUUUUUAACUUAUGUAUGCUAACUUUUGAAUUGUCAAACAUUAUUUGUCUAUUUUACAUAUGGAGAAUAUUCUUUGAUUUUUAGA